GGAGGUGGAGGGCAACAUGACAUGUAAACCCUCUCAUAUAAAAGAGAGAUGAUGACAGAGGAGAGGAGAGGAGGUGGAGGGCAACAUGACAUGAAAACCCUCUCAUCUAAAAGAGGGGAGGAAAGGGUUUUUUUUUAAAGAGAAGAGGAGAAGACAGGCUGAGGAGAUGAGAAAAGAGAAGAGAAAAAUCAGAGUGGAGGAGAGGAGAGGAGGUGGAGGGCAACAUGACAUGUAAACCCUCUCAUCUAAAAGAGAGGAGAAAAAAUGAGGGAAGAGACAUGAAAAAAGGAAAAAAGACGAGAGGGGAGGAGAGGAGAGGAGGUGGGAGGGCAACAUGUCGUGUAAAACCUCUCAUGUAAAAGGUAAAUAUUUCUUGUUGUUAUCAGAUUUCGUGCAGUGAUGAAUUAUUAUACUUCUGUUUACCUGAUUUCUACAUUUUUGUUUUUUGUCUUUUUUCUUCU